rnacentral:misc_RNA from 1 species
UUUUGGGAGGUGCUGCACAAUUCGUAUGUGAAGGGUGGUUUGGCCUUGUCUGCUCUGAUGGGACCUGGAAGAGACUUACUUUUUGAUGGUAUAAGAGCCUUAGAAGGGAUCGCCAAACAUGAAUUCUCUUGUGGGAUUUGGGUCAGUUGCUGCAUUUAUCAUGAGUGCGAUCUCACUCCUUAACCCUGAGCUCAAAUGGGAUGCAAAUUUCUUUGAUGAACCG